GACGAACGCUGGCGGCGUGCCUAACACAUGCAAGUCGAACGGAGAAUUUGCGGAUUGAGACUUCGGUUGAUUGAAGCUUAUUCUUAGUGGCGGACGGACGAGUAACGCGUGAGUAACCUGCCUUUCAGAGGGGGACAACAGUUGGAAACGACUGCUAAUACCGCAUAACGUCAUCGAGGGGCAUCCCUUGAUGACCAAAGAUUUAUCGCUGAAAGAUGGACUCGCGUCCGAUUAGAUAGUUGGUGGGGUAACGGCCUACCAAGUCGACGAUCGGUAGCCGAACUGAGAGGUUGAUCGGCCGCAUUGGGACUGAGACACGGCCCAGACUCCUACGGGAGGCAGCAGUGGGGGAUAUUGCACAAUGGAGGAAACUCUGAUGCAGUAACGCCGCGUGAGGGAAGGCGGUCUUCGGAUUGUAAACCUAAGUUAUCAGGGACGAUUAUGACGGUACCUGAAGAGAAAGCUCCGGCUAACUACGUGCCAGCAGCCGCCGUAAGAC
rnacentral:rRNA from 1 species